CUACGGGAGGCUGCAGUGGGGAAUAAUGGACAAUGGGGGAAACCCUGAUCCAGCAAUGCCGCGUGUGUGAAGAAGGCCUGCGGGUUGUAAAGCACUUUCGGUUGGGAGGACUGCUUCUAGCACUAAUAUUGUUGGAAGUUGACGUUACCUUCAGAAGAAGCACCGGCUAACUCCGUGCCAGCAGCCGCGGUAAUACGGAGGGCGCAAGCGUUAAUCGGAAUUACUGGGCGUAAAGCGCGCGUAGGCGGCUAGAUCAGUCGGGUGUGAAAGCCCCGGGCUUAACCUGGGAACUGCAUCCGAUACUGUCUAGCUUGAGUACAGGAGAGGAGAGUGGAAUUCCACAUGUAGCGGUGAAAUGCGUAGAUAUGUGGAGGAACACCAAUGGCGAAGGCAGCUCUCUGGCCUGAUACUGACGCUGAGGUGCGAAAGCGUGGGGAGCAAACAGGAUUAGAUACCCCAGUAGUC
rnacentral:rRNA from 1 species